rnacentral:rRNA from 1 species
GACGAACGCUGGCGGCGUGCUUAACACAUGCAAGUCGAACGCUGAAGCUUGGUGCUUGCACUGGGUGGAUGAGUGGCGAACGGGUGAGUAAUACGUGAGUAACCUGCCCUUGACUCUGGGAUAAGCCUGGGAAACUGGGUCUAAUACUGGAUACGACAUGCCACUGCAUGGUGGUGUGUGGAAAGGGUUUUACUGGUUUUGGAUGGGCUCACGGCCUAUCAGCUUGUUGGUGGAGUAAUGGCCUACCAAGGCGACGACGGGUAGCCGGCCUGAGAGGGUGACCGGCCACACUGGGACUGAGACACGGCCCAGACUCCUACGGGAGGCAGCAGUGGGGAAUAUUGCACAAUGGGCGGAAGCCUGAUGCAGCGACGCCGCGUGAGGGAUGACGGCCUUCGGGUUGUAAACCUCUUUCAGCACGGAAGAAGCGAGAGUGACGGUACGUGCAGAAGAAGCGCCGGCUAACUACGUG